rnacentral:rRNA from 1 species
GAUGAACGCUAGCUACAGGCUUAACACAUGCAAGUCGAGGGGUAGCAGGGUAGCAAUACCGCUGACGACCGGCGCACGGGUGAGUAACACGUAUCCAACCUUCCCAUAACUCGGGGAUAGCCUUUCGAAAGAAAGAUUAAUACCCGAUAGUACUUUAUUAAGGCAUCUUAAGAAAGUUAAAGAUUUAUUGGUUAUGGAUGGGGAUGCGUUCCAUUGGAUAGUUGGUGAGGUAACGGCUUACCAAGUCUUCGAUGGGUAGGGGUUCUGAGAGGAAGGUCCCCCACAUUGGUACUGAGACACGGACCAAACUCCUACGGGAGGCAGCAGUGAGGAAUAUUGGUCAAUGGGCGAGAGCCUGAACCAGCCAAGUAGCGUGAAGGAUGAAGGUCCUAUGGAUUGUAAACUUCUUUUAUAGUAGAAUAAAGUGAACCACGUGUGGUUUUUUGUAUGUAUACUAUGAAUAAGGAUCGGCUAACUCCGUGCCAGCCGCCGCCGUAA